GCACAGCUACGGAAAGCCACAGGGGUCAAAAGGCGGUUCUUCGCGAAACAGAGGGCGCAUGAAGAGGAGAGAAGGGAGGGAGCAGAAUGGUCUUUUGAAAACUGCUUCACUGCACUAAUGUUCCUGAAACCUGAGCUCUUAUUGGAUCUGAAGGGCAUUAUAAGACAAGGCAUCCUCCACCCUCUACCCCUGUUUAAAGGUGAGGAUUAAAGGGAUUGCUUUCAUUCAGGGAAGGAGAGGCGAAAAAGCCUUCCAGCAGAGCCCACUCCGGCUCAGCUCUUCUCCCCGUGUGCCUGUCCCCUUGUCUCUGCUUGCCAGGCCAGUUGACCAACCCUCACAAACUAGCCACCGGCCCGCCUGGACAGCUCUCUCGCACCCAGGCUUGUUACUGUGAGGUAGUCAGACGCAGCUAGCUGCCUCGUGGCCUCUGACAUUUGCGUGGAGGACAAAAAAAAAAAAAAAAAAAGGAGGAUGUGCUCAACUUUCCUCUCCUACACCUGCGAUCACGCUCUGGGGUCUCGAGAAACCCCCCCACCCUGGAAUCAGUGCAGGCCUCAUGUUAUAUGCAGGGAACACAGCAACCUCUUCUGGCCAAAAGUGAAUGCAGCAGAGAGUGUGUGCUGAAGCCAGCAUAUAACAAGUCCCGGCAACAGCAGGGCUUCUCCUGACCCAUGGAGGGCCGCACCAGUGCCAUGGCAGGAGUGUGAUGGGGAGUGUCCAUUGAUGGAUGUUGGGCAGGUAUUCUUCAUCGCCAGGGCUCCAACACCCUCUUCCUGACCAGGAGGGAAAUAUAGCGUACCAGAAAGGUGCCAAGGGGGUAUACGCCAAGCUUUGGUGGGUGCAUGCAGAUCCUGGUCCUGGUUUAAAAUUUAAGGGAAAAAACACACAGAGUAAAGGUUGCAGCCCAGCAACAUCAGGAGCUCCUGUACAACAGAGAGACUAGACUUAGGCAGUUGCUCCCUUCUUUCAGCUCAAAAUUACUGUUGCUCAGUGGGUGACGUCCACUAUGAGGUGGUGCGGUCGGACAGGGAAGGAGCCACAGAGAGAUUUCACCUCACCCUCCUCAAAGACAAAGUAGGCUGCAUAUGCUGCUGCCUACUUGAUGCCGAUGUCAACUGUCUUCGUUAUUACCUCCUGGGACAGUCAAUAACCGCAUACUCAGACCCCGUUGUAGGGGAUCCACCGCAUUACGUAUGGUUGCCAACCCCCGGAUCACCCUGUGGUAUCUGGCUUUGCAGCCCUUUAAGUUGAAGGUAAUCCAUAGGCCAGGGGCACAGAUUGCUGUGGUCAAUUUUCACUCGCAAGGUGGGGGGUGAGUAGGUUUAGCCGGAUGGGUCCCCAGCAUCAGUAGAGGUGGAGGUGUGCGGCAGGGGUGUAAUCUGCGGCUCUGCUGCAGGGAAGGGGUGGUGCAGUGGGUUGGAGGGCCAGGGAGGCUGGCAGGGCAGCUGAAAGCAAUUCAAUAAUUACACUCUCCCUAUUUUAGUGACACCAAGACCUGGAGGAAAAAAGAACAGGUGGAUGUCGGGACGAGGGGGGCAAAUAAUUGUAAAUA